rnacentral:lncRNA from 1 species
UUCAUUUCCCUUGGUUUUUUUCGUAAAUACAACCAAAUCGAUUUUUCCCAAUUUGUAGGGUUUCAGAAACCCUAUCUGCUCGCCAUUCUUCCUUCCGACCUUGCUUGGUUGCAGGUCUGUUUGCUUCUUCUGGUUCUCCUUUUUGCCCUCUUCGCUAAACCGAAUUUGGUCAACAAAAUUAUUCAACUAAUAAAAUAAAAAACCACUGAUUGAUCAAUUUUAACGCUUUUUGGGUUACUAUUUUAAUUGUUUGCUGUUUGUGUAAUUUUCUGUUGUUUGUGUUCUUGGAGCUUGGCUUGAAGUCUCAGUGGUUGAUAUUUUAAGUCUUGAGUUUUGCAUUUCUUUUUGUUGCUAGUUGGUUAGUUAUAAACUGGGGGGACAAGUGCGAGUUGAUGUAACUAGCUUUGAUGAGGAAUGAAAUUGACGAAUUUUCUUGUCGUGUUAAGCUAAAGGAGUUGGUUGUAGUUUUAGAAAUUAACUGGAUGGUGUAGUUUCUUGCUCUCAAAGCAGCCAAUUCCUGUGUUUUAUUUAGUAAGGAUCUUGUUGUUUGAGUCUUAGGUGGAGGACAUCAUUUGGCUUUGUUUAACUCUUGGCAUUUGAUACAUUAUAAGGUUGUUAGAGGCGUUAAGAACUCUCACUUAGCUGCGGCACCAUCGUAUUUGUUGAGACAUUCCUCUUUGGAUCUGUUUCAUACUUUCAUUGCUAGUAAUGCCUUUUUGUGGGUAAGGCUAUCCUUGUUUGAGUAAGCUGAACAUAAGGAGGUUGGAACCUUGGAAUGAAAAUCAAUUCAAAACCCUUUACAUUUAACUUGCGCUUAAUUUUUUACCUGCUUAAAGAAGCAUGGCCUAAUAAUCAAGUACAGCUGACGAGUUAAUGUGUCUUUCCUUCCUUCAACUUUACUUUACGUCAACAUUUUUUUUUUCAUUAUCUUCUGAAGUAAAUGAAUUUGUUAACGAAUGACAUUUGCUGUGUGUCAAGAAUUGAACAUGUGGAUUCCUACAUGUCAUCAGAUUUCACUGUGUGAAGAUGAAUAGAAUUGACAAAAAAAUAUGCAGAUGAAAAUAUGUACCUCCUUACAUGAUAGCAAAAUCUUACCUGAUGCACGUAGUUACUCAAUAUCUUUUGCCAGUUACCUUUUCAUCAUCCAGAUCACCAUGUCAAGUUUGGAGGAACCACUUGGGCUUGACAAGUUGCCAAGCAUGAAUACCAUAGAUAGAAUCCAGAGGUUCUCAU